ACAGCAUUAUCUUUUUUUCCCAUUGGUCCUUUGGGAAGUUAGGAGAUAAAACUACUUGAAUACUUCAAACACUACUUAACCUUCUACUUGAAGUUUUAUAGGUCGAGAGUUGUGAUCAAAUUGCCAGAUGCCUCUUCUUCUGUACGUGAUAAACCAUGAUGUUCUGCUUUCAGUAGUCUACUCUCUCAAUUGGCUACAAAUUGACCAGAUAUAUUAGUGUCUGUGCUGGUGGC